rnacentral:rRNA from 1 species
GACGAACGCUGGCGGCGUGCCUAAUACAUGCAAGUCGAACGCAGUGGGGACGGGUGAUUAACACGUGGGUAACCUCCCAUCAGAGGGGAUAAACCUUGGCAACAGGUGCUAAACCCAUACUGAUGGAUGGACCCGCGGUGCAUUAGCUAGUUGGUGAGGUAACGGCUCACCAAGGCCACGAGGCAUAGCCGUCCUGAGAGGGUGAUCGGCCACACUGGGACUGAGACACGGUCCAGACUCCUACGGGAGGCAGCAGUAGGGAAUCUUCGGCAAUGGACGAAAGUCUGAUCGAGCAACGCCGCGUGAGUGAAGAAGGUUUUCGGAUCGUAAAGUUCUGUUGUUAGAGAAGCGUUAUCUAACCAGAAAGCCACGGCUAACUACGUGCCAGCAGCCGCGGUAAUAC